AGUCAGCACUCAUUGAGAAAAACAGAAUUCAUGAAAUUCAACAAAGAAGAUGGUUUGAAAAUGAAAAUCCCCUUAGGGUUUCGGUCAGUUUAUCAUCCACCGGGGUGCUUUUCCUCGUUGAAGUCAGUUCGGAUCUACUCUGUGUAAUACGAUUGCCGAUCUGUUUUCCAGGUGGUCCAACUUCUUGUAUACAUGAGCUGUCACCGAGUUCAAAUCCGGAAGCUAUUUCAAUCUUCUGCUUCAAUGUCUGCACAAAGUUCGAUACGUGUUCGCUAUCUUUGAUGUCUGGCGGUAGAAAGAACUCCAAGACAUACUCGUCUUUGACUUCAACACUAUGCAAGAAGAUUGCAAAGCAGAUGGUCAACCCGUUCAUGCGUGCGUUGUGUACCAAAGGGUACUCUUCUUCGCUGAGUUUUGUUACAUCUUCACAAAAACAUGAACCGCGGGAUAACAACGCCUUGCCGACAAAGCCACGGGACACGUCCAGGUGUCGUUCUCGACACGCUUUCAAAAAAGACCACGCGCCCAGGUCUUGAACAUGAAAAGGUAGAGCGGCUCUUGACAUGCAUACUUUCCCGACACAUCUAGUGUCAAAACUACUACAGCUCUUUUGUACAACCUUUUCAUGGGAAACAAAACUAGUGUGUUGGGACACGGCCCAUGUCUGAGCAAGAGGUAAACCGUGGAUGUCACACGUCGUUUUCAGAAUACCGUAGAUUUCAUCGAAAUCUUUCCGCUUGCGUUCAUUAGGAACCUGUACAUAAGCAUUCCAAAGCAUUUGGUGAUUCGACAAAAAAUUGUACAAAGUAAUUGUACAAAGUAUUAAACUUCACAGUCAUCAUAGACGGAUUUGGUCUUAAGUGGACCGAUGUCAAGUGACAACUGACAACGUUAGAUUUUUGUUUAUA